UCCGGUUUGUCACCGGCAGUCUCAUUAGAGUGCCCAACUAAAUGUAGCAACUAAUGACAAGGGUUGCGCUCGUUGCGGGACUUAACCCAACAUCUCACGACACGAGCUGACGACAGCCAUGCAGCACCUGUGUUACGGUUCUCUUUCGAGCACUCCUCCAUCUCUGGAGGAUUCCGUACAUGUCAAAGGUGGGGAUGACGUUUACCGACAGCU
rnacentral:misc_RNA from 1 species